UGAAGGACUGCUUGUUGGAAGAGAGAGAGAGAGGAGUAUUGAGGGGGUUGAAGGACUGCUUGUUGGAAGAGAGAGAGAGAGAGAGAGAGAGGGGAGUAUUGAGGGGGUUGAAGGACUGCUUGUUGGAAGAGAGAGAGAGAGGAGUAUUGAGGGGGUUGAAGGACUGCUUGUUGGAAGGGAGAGAGAGAGAGAGAGGGAGGAGUAUUGAGGGGGUUGAAGGGCUGCUUGUUGGAAGAGAGAGAGAGAGAGGAAGGAGUAUUGAGGGGGUUGAAGGACUGCUUGUUUGCAGAGAGAGAGAGAGAGAGAGAGAGAGAG
rnacentral:lncRNA from 1 species